UAGACAGAGGCACUCUCAGAAACUGCUUUGUGAUAUCUGCACUCAAGUCACAGAGUUGAACAUUCCCUUUCUUAGAGCAGGUUUGAAACACUCUUUUUGUAGUAUCUGGAAGUGGACAUUUGGAGCGCUUUGACGCCUUUGGUGAAAAAGGAAAUGUCUUCCCAUAAAAACUAGACAGAAGCAUUCUAAGAAACUUCUUUGGGAUAUAUGUACUCAACUAACAGAGUUGAACCUUUCUAUUUAUAGAUCAGUUUUGAAACGCUCUUUUUGUGGAAUCUGCAAGUGGAUAUUUGGAUGGCUUUGAGGAUUUCGUUGGAAACGGGAUUAUAUAUAAAAAGUAGACAGCAACAUUCUCAGAAGCUUCUUUGUGAUGUUUGCUUUUAAGUCACAGGUUUGAACAUUCCCUUUCAUAAAGCAGGUUUGAAACACUCUUUCUGUAGUAUCUGGAAGUGGACAUUUUGAGCGCUUUCUGGCCUAUGUUGAAAAAGGAAAUAUCUUUCCAUAAAAAGUAGACAGAAGCAUUCUCAGAAACUUAUUUGUGAUGUGUGUCCUCAACUAACAGAGCUGUACCUUUCUUUUGAUACAGCAGUUUGGAAACACUCUUUUUGUAGAAUUUGCAAGUGGAUAUUUGGAUAACUUCGAAGAUUUCGUUGGAAACGGGAAUAUCUUCAUAUAAAAUCUAGACAGAAGCAUUCUCAGAAACUGCUUUUUGAUGUCUGCAUUCAAGUCACAGAGUUGAACAUU
rnacentral:lncRNA from 10 species